AUUGAACGCUGGCGGCAUGCCUUACACAUGCAAGUCGAACGGUAACAGGUCUUCGGAUGCUGACGAGUGGCGAACGGGUGAGUAAUACAUCGGAACGUGCCCGAUCGUGGGGGAUAACGAAGCGAAAGCUUUGCUAAUACCGCAUAAGAUCUACGGAUGAAAGCAGGGGACCGCAAGGCCUUGCGCGAACGGAGCGGCCGAUGGCAGAUUAGGUAGUUGGUGGGAUAAAGCUUACCAAGCCGACGAUCUGUAGCUGGUCUGAGAGGACGACCAGCCACACUGGGACUGAGACACGGCCCAGACUCCUACGGGAGGCAGCAGUGGGGAAUUUUGGACAAUGGGCGAAAGCCUGAUCCAGCCAUGCCGCGUGCAGGAUGAAGGCCUUCGGGUUGUAAACUGCUUUUGUACGGAACGAAAAGACUCUGGUUAAUACCUGGGGUCCAUGACGGUACCGUAAGAAUAAGCACCGGCUAACUACGUG
rnacentral:rRNA from 1 species